rnacentral:rRNA from 1 species
CACGUAGUUAGCCGUGGCUUAUUCAAGGGGUACCGUCUUCCGCUCUUCCCCCUUAAAAGAAGUUUACAACCCGAAAGCCUUCUUCCUUCACGCGGCGUUGCUGGGCCAGACUUGCGUCCAUUGCCCAAUAUUCCCCACUGCUGCCUCCCGUAGGAGUCUGGGCCGUAUCUCAGUCCCAAUGUGGCCGGCCAACCUCUCAGUCCGGCUACUGAUCGUCGCCUUGGUGGGCCGUUACCUCACCAACUAGCUAAUCAGACGCGAGGCCAUCUUCCAGCGAUAAAUCUUUGACGUCAGAGUCAUGCGGCUCCAACGCAUCAUGCGGUAUUAGCAGUCGUUUCCAACUGUUCGUCCCCCUCUGGAAGGCAGGUUCCUCACGCGUUACUCACCAGUCCGCCACUAGGCAUUCCCAUCCGUUGUACCGAAAACUCCUUCGAGGGGUGCUCCGUUCGACUUGCAUGUGUUAAGCACGCCGCAGCGUUCGUCUGAGCCAGGAUCGAAACUCU